rnacentral:tRNA from 1 species
ACCUGGGUGGCUCAGUCGGUUAAGCAUCUGACUCUUGGUUUCAGUUCAGGUUACUAUCUCUUGGUUUUGUGGGUUCAAGCCCCACAUCAGGUU